UCAAUUGUCUUCCAAUUGUCCAGGGCUUGUGCAGCUGAUUGGAGUCAGUUUGAAGUUCUAUUAAAGAGGAAGAUUUCAAAGUGCACCUCAUGACUUUUCUUGUUUACUCAAUGCAGUAUUUUUUAUGUUCCAGUUCAGAGAAGAGCUGAUAGAAGCAUUCCCCAGGUGAUCUUGAUGCUGAAUGUCUCCUUAGGAGGUCUUGGCACAGAGAAGAACGAGCCCCCUUUGGGCUGACCCUGUUUGGACAAGCUGCUCCUCACCCCCAGCCUCACCAUGUCUGACAUGGCCCACCUGGCACUGACAUCCCUGUGCCCUGCAGCAGAACCUUGUCCCCUGAGCUCUGCAGCUCCAUGUCCCAGCCCAUUGCACCAUGUUCCAUCUGCUCUCCUCAGGGCUCUGCCUACACAGAGGUCCAGGAGAAGUUUUCCUGUUGGGAAGGAAAGAAUGGAAAAGCCUGAAGAGGUUUCCUAAACAACAAACCCCACUCAGGAACCACCUGCUCAGUCCAGGCUGCCUGGAAUGGUGUCACCUUUCUACAAGGGACAGUGUAAGCAGAAAUGAUCUCUGGAAGCAGAAUUCUCUGAGUCUUGCAGCUGAAUUCACUGUCCCUGUCCUUUCCUUGGAUCUCUGUUGCAGAUGGAAGCUGCUGGUGCCAUCAUCACCUUUAACCUCUCUUUUGAAUGCAAACAGAUGUUCCCAGGUGUGCUAAGCAGGAUUUGCUCAAUGUUUCUACAAAACUUUUGUGUUCUUCUUGGAAUGAAGGGGCCAUUUUGAAGGGGGUAUGUGAAAGCAAGGAGUCAAUUGUGACACUGGGGUCUCAUGGAACCAAGGGGCCAUGGUGACACAGCAGGGCCACGUGGAUCCAGUGGUCCAUUGUGACACUGUGGAUCCAUGGAGACACCCCCAGAACCUUCAUGGAACCAAGGAGUCCAUGGUGACCCAGCGGGGCUGCAUGGAGCCAAUGGUCCCUGGUGACACUGCCCAUCCAAGGAGGCCACUGUGACACUGCAGGAGCUCAUGGAGCGAGGACAGAUGGGGCCCGAAGAUUGGUGAACUAUUAAUCUUUGGAAACUGCUGAUCAAGGACUGAUGGAUUUUUCACACUGUCAUCUGUACUCUCAGUCGCCUCACAAAAAGAAAUUACAGUGUUGGACCUGUCUCCUGACCCACCUUGUUUUACACCCCAAUGACUAACAAUUGCCCAAGCCAUAUUACUCCUUGAACAGGAUGCUGGUGACGCUUCACUAGUGAUGUGGACCCAGGUGAUAAGUCAUGAUCAACCAAAAAUCACCUGCACUCUGGAACUUACCAAUGAACAUAUUGUUUUGAUAGGGCUUGUGGACAUGGGAGCAGAUGCGACAAGUAUCUCACGUUCCAAGUGGCCUCCUAACUGGGUGCUCAGAGCUAAUGCGGGAUUGUCCAGGAUCAGAGGUGACAGUGAUAGUCUCCAAAGUGCAGAACUCUUCAACAUCAAAGGACCUGAAGACCAAACUGCUACAACAAGACCAUUCAUGGUAAAGGACCUUCGUGUGUCCCAGCUAAGAACAUCAAGCCCUACCUGCAGCCACAGAGCGUGGAUUCACCAAAGGAACCCCCAAGUCCACCCCAGGACAAAAACCACCAGACAGCGACUCUAGUACCUGGACUAGACAAUUCUUUUGAAGAUGACAUAUAAGAAGCUUCUACUCACCUUCCUCAGCCUGUUUGCAACCAUGCUCCUCACGAGUGGAUGGGUAGCUCCACAACCAAAGCACAACAUAUGGAUACCUCUAGCAAAAGCCAUGAAACAAGACACCCUGUGCCUGUUGUCAGCUCUGACGACCCCUUCUGCACCUUCCUAGUGGGGUUGCCUACAGAUGUCUGGCCACUAACUGACAAUUCCACCCCCAGUGUGAGAGAUGACAAUCCUAAAGGCAAAUGCAAGUGCAACCUGUCGAUGCUUGGGACUAAUGGAAGCUUCUGCAUGCAGCACUUGAACUCCAGGAGGUAAAAAUUCUCAACUCUGUAAAAAUGGACUUUUGUGUAAGGUUUUAUUACCGUCUGAAAUGGGAAGAAGGUGAAAGACCCAAAAUUACAAGAGAAAAAGAAACUAUCAGGAGAGACAUCUCCCCAUAUCAUCCCACUUACAAAAAACAGAACCAAUGGUGUAAUUGCACCUCUUCCAUAAUUUCUUGGUCCGGUAGCUACCCACUUCAGUUGCCACAGGAUGUGUUUCUUAUUUGCAGGGAUGUAGCGUGGCCUGGUAUCCCUUCACACAUCAAAGGCAGACCUUGUAGCUUGGGGAGGCUUACCUUGCUGGCACUCAACAUCUCACUUGAUUAAAAGAAAAAAGUCAUGA